rnacentral:rRNA from 1 species
CCUACGGGAGGCAGCAGUGGGGAAUUUUGGACAAUGGGGGCAACCCUGAUCCAGCCAUUCCGCGUGAGUGAAGAAGGCCUUCGGGUUGUAAAGCUCUUUCGCAAGGGAAGAAAACUUAUGAUCGAAUAAAUCAUGAGGUUGACGGUACCUUGAUAAGAAGCACCGGCUAACUACGUGCCAGCAGCCGCGGUAAUACGUAGGGUGCGAGCGUUAAUCGGAAUUACUGGGCGUAAAGCGUGCGCAGGCGGUUUUGUAAGUCGGAUGUGAAAUCCCCGGGCUCAACCUGGGAACUGCGUUCGAAACUGCAAGGCUAGAGUGUGUCAGAGGGGGGUAGAAUUCCACGUGUAGCAGUGAAAUGCGUAGAGAUGUGGAGGAAUACCAAUGGCGAAGGCAGCCCCCUGGGAUAACACUGACGCUCAUGCACGAAAGCGUGGGGAGCAAACAGGAUUAGAUACCCUGGUAGUCCACGCCCUAAACGAUGUCAACUAGUUGUUGGUAGAGUAAAACUCUAUGAGUAACGUAGUACUACGCGUGAGUAGACCGCCGUGGAGGUACGGUCGCGAGAGUAAACUACGAAGAAGUAGACGCGUGAGACGUGCGACGGACGACGACGAGGGAGGAGG